rnacentral:RNase_P_RNA from 3 species
ACAGUGCUCCGGUCUGUCGCCGGCACACUAUCGUGCGGGAGGAAAGUCCGGGCAGCGCAGGACGCCUCACUUCUGAAAGUAGAAGCUGUCGGUGACGACAGGAGACGGCAGAAGAAAAUAACCGCCUGUGCUUGUGUACAGGUAAGGGUGAGAAGGUGGUGUAAGAGACCACCGGGUGUCAAGUGAUUGGCAUGCCGUGCCAUCUGGGGGCUGCAAGUUCGCGUAAACCACCGUCCGAGGGUUGUCCGCCCGAUAUGAUAUUCAUAACGGUGGAGGGUGGAACGCUUAAGCCGUGGAGUGAUCCGCGGAUUAGAUAAAUGACAGACGCCUUAUAUCAUGAUGAAUGUUAUGAGGAACAGAACCCGGCUUACAGGGGCACUGUAUUU